AUUGAACGCUGGCGGCAUGCUUUACACAUGCAAGUCGAACGGCAGCGCGGGCUUCGGCCUGGCGGCGAGUGGCGAACGGGUGAGUAAUACAUCGGAACGUGCCCAGUAGUGGGGGAUAGCUCGGCGAAAGCCGGAUUAAUACCGCAUACGACCUGAGGGUGAAAGCGGGGGAUCUUCGGACCUCGCGCUAUUGGAGCGGCCGAUGGCAGAUUAGCUAGUUGGUGGGGUAAAGGCCUACCAAGGCGACGAUCUGUAGCUGGUCUGAGAGGACGACCAGCCACACUGGGACUGAGACACGGCCCAGACUCCUACGGGAGGCAGCAGUGGGGAAUUUUGGACAAUGGGCGAAAGCCUGAUCCAGCAAUGCCGCGUGUGUGAUGAAGGCCUUCGGGUUGUAAAGCACUUUUGGCGGGUACGAAAAGGACUGUGCCAAUACCACGGUUCGAUGACGGUACCCGCAGAAUAAGCACCGGCUAACUACGUG
rnacentral:rRNA from 1 species